rnacentral:rRNA from 1 species
AGCGAACGCUGGCGGCAGGCCUAACACAUGCAAGUCGAACGAUCCUUCGGGAUAGUGGCGGACGGGUGAGUAACACGUGGGAACGUGCCUUUUGGUUCGGAAUAACGCAGGGAAACUUGCGCUAAUACCGGAUGAGCCCUACGGGGGAAAGAUUUAUCGCCGAAAGAGCGGCCCGCGUUAGAUUAGCUAGUUGGUGGGGUAAAGGCCCACCAAGGCUACGAUCUAUAGCUGGUCUGAGAGGAUGAUCAGCCACACUGGGACUGAGACACGGCCCAGACUCCUACGGGAGGCAGCAGUGGGGAAUCUUGCGCAAUGGGCGAAAGCCUGACGCAGCCAUGCCGCGUGAAUGAUGAAGGUCUUAGGAUUGUAAAAUUCUUUUAGCAGGGACGAUAAUGACGGUACCUGCAGAAA